AACGAACGCUGGCGGCAGGCCUAACACAUGCAAGUCGAGCGUUCACCUUCGGGUGGGAGCGGCGCACGGGUGAGUAACACGUGGGAACCUACCUUGAAGUACGGAAUAACUGAGGGAAACUUCAGCUAAUACCGUAUACGCCCUACGGGGGAAAGAUUUAUCGCCUCAAGACGGGCCCGCGUUGGAUUAGCUAGUUGGUGAGGUAACGGCUCACCAAGGCAACGAUCCAUAGCUGAUUUGAGAGAAUGAUCAGCCACACUGGGACUGAGACACGGCCCAGACUCCUACGGGAGGCAGCAGUGGGGAAUAUUGGACAAUGGGCGCAAGCCUGAUCCAGCCAUGCCGCGUGAGUGAUGAAGGCCUUCGGGUUGUAAAGCUCUUUCAGAUGGGACGAUGAUGACGGUACCAUCAGAAGAAGCCCCGGCUAACUUCGUGCCAGCCGCCGCAGUAAGAC
rnacentral:rRNA from 1 species